rnacentral:rRNA from 1 species
AUGACAAUAAUAGAUUUCAUAGACGUGAUUGAUGAUAUUGUUGACUUGAGCGGCGAUGAGGAGACUGUUGAAAGGGCGACGUUGCUUGGUACGCAGGCUCUUUUGAUCCUAUCUGGUGAAGGAAGGCAAGAUGCACAGGCUGGUGAAGGAAGGCAAGAUGAUACUGAGUCCGGAAAUGCUUUGGUAGCCGCCACAUUUUCUCCAAGUAUGGAAAAGGCGCCUCUUGAUACGGCUGUAUCACAGAACUCUCCUCACUCUCCAACAGCAGCGCUAUUCGCCAGCUCAGCUACUACCACUCCGACGGCUCUGUCCUCUGAACGUAGUGAUGCGAAGCUGGUGAGUGUGAAGGUGAAACGGCCUGGGAGGAACUACCACACGGGGGGUACUCCUAGGAGAAGUCCUAGACUUGAAGAGAAUAAAAGGUGCCGUAACAAGUCUACAGAAGAGCUGGCAGCCGAUUGCAAGAGCCCUAACAUGCUUGAGCAAGCAGAGGAAUCAGCUGCCUCUAGUCAGAAUGCAGGUUCUGCAAAGAUCCUCUAUACAAACCCUGCAAACUAA